UCCCUGGUAGUAUAUCGGCUAGUACACGCGCCUGUCAUUGACUUUGUAGUGUACGGUCGCGCGAAAGCGGGGUUCGACUCCCCACCAGGGAG